rnacentral:rRNA from 1 species
UUUCACACUGUCAAGAAAAGCUUCUAUCGAGUUUAAAGGCGCCCGUACCGUAAACCGACACAGGUGGGUGAGGAGAGUAUCCUAAGGCCAGCGAGAGAACUAUUGUUAAGGAACUCGGCAAAAUGACCCCGUAACUUAGGGAGAAGGGGUGCCUGUCUAUGACAGGCCGCAGAGAAUAGGCCCAAGCGACUGUUUACCAAAAACACAGGUUUCUGCUAAGUCGUAAGACGAUGUAUAGGAGCUGACGCCUGCCCGGUGCUGGAAGGUUAAGGGGAUCUGUUAGAGCAAUCGAAGCAGUGAACUUAAGCCCCAGUAAACGGCGGCCGUAACCAUAACGGUCCUAAGGUAGCGAAAUUCCUUGUCGGGUAAGUUCCGACCCGCACGAAAGGCGUAACGAUUUGGGCACUGUCUCAACAAUAGACUCGGUGAAAUUGUAAUCCCGGUGAAGAUGCCGGGUACCUGCGACAGGACGGAAAGACCCCAUGGAGUUUUACUGUAGCUUGACGUUGGGUCUUGGUACUACAUGUACAGGAUAGGUGGGAGACUAUGAAGCAUGGACGCCAGUCUGUGUGGAGUCAUCCUUGGGAUACCACCCUUGUAGUACUGGGAUCCUAACCAUAGGCCUUGAAUCAGGUCUUGGAACACCGUCAGGUGGGCAGUUUGACUGGGGCGGUCGCCUCCUAAAAAGUAACGGAGGCGCUCAAAGGUUUCCUCAGCACGGUCGGAAAUCGUGCGAAGAGUGUAAAGGCAAAAGGAAGCUUGAUUGCAAGACAUACAGGUCGAGCAAGGACGAAAGUCGGACUUAGUGAUCCGGUGGUACCGCAUGGAAGGGCCAUCGCUCAACGGAUAAAAGCUACCCUGGGGAUAACAGGCUUAUCUCCCCCAAGAGUCCACAUCGACGGGGAGGUUUGGCACCUCGAUGUCGGCUCAUCACAUCCUGGGGCUGUAGUAGGUCCCAAGGGUUGGGCUGUUCGCCCAUUAAAGUGGUACGCGAGCUGGGUUCAGAACGUCGUGAGACAGUUCGGUCCCUAUCCGUCGCAGGCGUAGGAAAUUUGAGAAGACCUGUCCUUAGUACGAGAGGACCGGGAUGGACGUACCUCUGGUGUACCAGUUGUUCUGCCAAGGGCAUGGCUGGGUAGCUAUGUACGGAAUGGAUAAGCGCUGAAAGCAUCUAAGCGCGAAGCCAACUUCAAGAUAAGAUUUCCCACCGUAAGGGUAAGACCCCAGGAAGACUACCUGGUUGAUAGGUCGAAGGUGUAAGUGCAGUAAUGUAUUUAGCUUAUCGAUACUAAUAGGUCGAGGACUUGACCU